AUGGAGAAGCUCAUCUACCUUGGCAGCGGCCUCGACGCGGCCCCAGAGGUGGUUUAUGGUGACGGCGACGAGUUCGUGAACUUGAUGAGCAUACUAGCGCUUGACACAGUGAUCUGUGGAGACCCGAGACUGGAGUACUAUGAUUCUAUCAAGAUUGCCAAUACAUCUCACCUUUGCGUUGUCUCGGAUGAUCUCGCCGUGGAGCGUUUGGUUGGCGAGAUUCUUUAUGCGGCUACUCGCGCCGGAGAUAUGCAUGAAAUAAUACAAACAACCAGGAAACCAGCUAUUGGGGUCUGUGGGUAG
rnacentral:rRNA from 1 species